GCAAGUCCUAGGCUCUGUGGUUUAACCCACAGCGCCACCCGUGUCCCUUAAACCAUAAGUAGAAUCAUAGAAUUGUAGAGUUGGAAGGUUUCCCAGGGGUCAUCUAGUCCAACCCCCUGCAAUGCAAGAAUCUCAACACAUGGUAAUUUAAAUGUUGCUCUUUUUUUUUUUUUAGUACUUCGCAUUGGACUGAGAAAAGGACUGGGAGCUGUCGGCAUAGUACAGAGGUAACAUGUUUAAAACACAGAGCCCCUCAGUUAAUCUAACAGUUGUGUUCCGUAGUAAAUGAAGUUUCUGAACUGUUUUCAAAGGCAGCCUCACAAUAGUGUACUACAGUAGUCUAAUUUGGAGGUUACCAAGCCCAGAUAGCUAACCCCAGGCUACGUUUGUCCAAGUGGGGAUGCAGCUAAGGCCCAAAGUAAACACUUAUUUGAUAGGCAGCAUACAGCUACGUAUCUACAUUUUUUCUGACUUAAUUACAGGCAGAGGGGGAAAUCCUUAUCAGGAAGGCAGUGCGAGGGAAGAAGGGGUGGGGGGCAAUCGUUUCCCUUCCCACCUUGCAUGGCUAGAAGUUGGCGGGAUGAGAUAGCCAAGACAGACUUUCCCCUGAAGCUUCCAAGCUGCACACGGUGUGUGUGAUCACGUUGGAGAGGUAAUGACAGUUGGCUGAUAAUUAGAAGCACAAGGUGCCUGAGUGGUAUCAUUAAGUGAGAAAAAAAUCCAGGUACAUAGCUUCCAGGUUCUGUUUACUGAAUGUUUGCAUUCAAGGCUUCUGGUAACAAAAAAAUGAAUCAACUCACACCUGCUCCCAAGUUGCAGAUCUAUUCUGUGUAGUCCUAUGUAGUCCUAUGUAGCGUAGAAUGAACACCACGUGCUUAGACAGACGAACCAUCCACCCAGAAUAUAUCAGUCUUGAUUGGAUACAGCUUCAGAUUACUGGCUACAGCCUGCCCAUUUCCCUGUGGCUGGAAUGAUGAAAGCAGGUGGCAUGGAGGAAUGUUUGGAUCCCCAAUUUUAUUCCCAUUAUUAUUAUUAUUUCUUCCACUUUUGAACCGUUUUAGGGAACUGAUGCUCACAACCAUAGGGUUUUUGUAUUAUUAUUUCUUUUAAGAAUAUUUUUUUAUUAACCGACCAAUCACAUCAAAUCAAACCAAAUUACAUAAAUUCCAAAUUACACAGCCGAAUUUUAAAUUUUUGUUGGGGGUACCCAUAUUUCAAGUUCCGAAGGGAUCCAAUCAACUUCUUGCUUCUUACUGCUGUUUUAAUGUCCACAAAUCUAACCUUAUGAUGUUCACGGGAUAAUCCAGUCCUUUCUUAUUAUUUUUCCACAUCUCUUGUUGUUAUUUUCAUAUAUUUCUCCUUUCUCUUUGUGACCUCUGAUAGUCUCCGCAAGCUGGUUAGAACAGUUUGUAAUCCUGCGUGGAUAUUAUUUUUUUUAUCCAGUAGCCAUAUCCAGACGUUUUCCAUAUAACAUCACUUCCAUACAUCAAAACAGUCUUAGUGUCAUUAAUCUGCCUCCUUUUUCAAAACCUCUGAGGAGAUUCACUAGGAAUGCAGUCUGAAAACAAAUCCAUUCUUCCUCCCGGCUAUAAAUCCUUUGGCAAGAUGGCGACUCUGAAUUAAUUGCUGCGCCAUUCCCAAAAGCUCUUAUUGCUUCUCGGUCUCCAUAAAGCAUACUUUUGGUUAAAGUUUAUCUCCACACAGACCUUAAUCAUCCUGCUUGGGUCAGUUCAACCGACGGUUCUAAUGAGGAGGGGUUCUUGUAAAUCACAUAGAAGGAAAGUGAAAAGGUUCCUCCCCCCAUUCAGCCCCGUUGUCAAUAUACCCCGCCUUUGGUGUAUCUUCAUCGUAAAAUAUUCCUGUUUCUCCAGCACAUCAUCUUCUUUUGCAGAGGUCACUUAAAUUAGCAGACUUCACUCCCCUUCUUCACUUGAAAUAUGUGCAUUUGCUUCUUUUGUAAUUAAUUAUUCCAAAUUGCUGCAACUAGUGCGCGAUCAGAGACAGCGUCCAGGAGAACCGAUGUCCACACGGGGGCAUUCUGACUAGGGCCCUCACCCCCUUCUGUCGAAUUAGGGGGUGAUUUAUGGGCACAGCAGGCAAGGGCAAUGUUCCCCAUUUCAUUGGGGCAACAAGGGAGGCUGCCUACUCCCAUAACAGCCUCUUAAUUACCCCGUGUGGGUCGGAGAGAUGGUAUUGUCGGCCAUCUUCCAAUGCGCCCCCUAGUGGCCCCCCGUGGGUUUUUGUAUUUUUUUUAAUAAUAAUUUGUAUUAAAUUUUCUGUUUCACAAUUUAGAAAAUUCAUUUAAACAACCUUAAAAUAUCAAUGACUUCCCUUCUUCCCUUUCCAUGGUUCAUUUUGCAUGGCAUAAAUCCCUACAUAUUUUACAUAAACUAAACCAUUCAGUGUUCCAUUAUUACUUCCAUCAAAACUUAUUUACACUGUUGAAUCUAUCUUAAUGCUGCCAACGUUUUCAAGUGUACACAAUUCCCCCCCUCCCAUAUAUUCAAUAAACAUUUCCCAGUCUUCUUUUAAUGUAUGUUCUUCUUCUUCUCUUAUUCUAUAAAUUAGAUCAACAAGCUGCUGUGUUCUAAACCACUGAGCCUCAUGGGCUUGCCGAUCAGAAGAUCGGCGGUUCAAAUCCCCUCAACGGGGUGAGCUCCUGUUGCUCUGUCCCAGCUCCUGCCAACCUAGCAAUCUGAAAGCACACCAGUGCAAGUAGAAAAAUAGGUACUGCUCUGGUGGGAAAGUGAAUGGUGCUUCCGUGUGCUCUGGUUUCCAUCACGGUGUUCCGUUGCGCCAGAAGUGGUUUAGUCAUGCUGGCCACAUGACCUGGAAAGCUGUCUGUGGACAAACGCCGGCUCCCUCGGCCUGAAAGCGAGAUGAGUGCCGCAACCCCAUAGUUGCCUUUGACUGGACUUAACCGUCCAGGAGUCCUUUACCUUUACCUUUUCCCUAUUCCAUCAGUUUAAGUUGCCAUUCUUCUUUGGUCGGGACCUCGCUCGUUUUCUAUUUUUGGGCUGACAAAACACGGGCCGCCAUAGUGGCAUACAUAAAUAACCUUUUUUGACACCUGGGAAUUUCCAUCUGAAUUAUCCCCAAGAAAAAGGACUCUGGUUUUUUUUGGAAAGGUGUUUGUAAACAUUUUUUUCCCAAUUUGUUAUAAAUAACCAUGGAGUUGCUCCUCUCCCUGCAUUUUCCCCUGCUCCUCAUUCAAUACUAAUAAAAAGUGUUUUUUCAAUCUCAUUUGUUCUCACUUCAAUGAAAACACUCCCAUUUACUAGCAUAUUCCCGCUACUGGUUUGGGAAGAGGCAUGUGCACAAUGUUGACCACACUCCAUAUCUAUCUUGUUGUUUCUUAGGAGGAAAUACUACAUUUUUCUGCAUUUCCCCCGAAACCAGCUUUGAUUCGAAUUGAGAAAAUGAUAGACCCACCUGCAUUUUAAGACAGUAAUGUGUAAAACAUUCUUAUUUGAUUAAUCAUGUUGCUUUUCACAAGUCCUUCUGUGGAUAACAUUUUUUUCAAAGCAAUGCUACAAAAAUAAUGUUUUUGGGGUUUUUUUAGUUUCCUUUUUACAGUGCUUCAAGACUAUUGCUGUUUUUGGAUGGGAUUCAGCCACACACUGGCAAAUUCAAGUUGCACAAUUAAAACUGAUUUGGAGCUCUUGCACAACAACAACAACCCUCACCCAAUUCACCCCAGACUUUUGCAAUAAGGAAAGUGACAGGAAAAUGCACUGGAACGUGUGAGAUAACAAUUGCUUAAUGCAAUGUUUAUCUGUUUAUCUACUUGCACUGGUGCGCUUUCGAACUGCUAGUUUGGCAGGAGCUGGGGGAGAGCCAUGGGAGCUCACUCUGUCGCACGGAUUCAAACAACCGACCUUAUGAUUGGCAAGCCCAAGAGACUCAGGGGUUCAGACCACAGCGCCACCCAUGCACACCGGAAGAUAAAACACCUCAUAACUUGCUUUUUCUCCCACUGUAAUCUCACCCCAUGGGCACUCGGACACCAUCUUCUCAGUCCAUCGGUGGAAGUAGUUGCAAAACGUCAUAGCACAAUAUACAGAGGGGUACCAGUUGGUCCUUAAAGAUAUGACUAGACUCACUCUCUUUGCUGCUACAGACUAGCUCUUCUGGAAUUUGUCUCUGAGGAAGGGCGGAGUUCGCUCUAUUUGUGUAGCAAGGCAGAGACAUCCACCCUUACUAAAUAAACGUUGGGAGUAGCUUGGUUGCCAAGGAAGGGUGGUUGCUGGUUCUUUGCCUAGGAUGUUGGGUGGUGCUGUGAGAAGCAGAAAAUAAGCUUUGUUUUCCUGGAUAGGAAGUGGCUUUGUAAUACUGGGUGGUACGUCAAAUGAAAGCUGUGCUACACAACUGUAGGUUGUGCUCACACAGCGUCAGCUACCAAGGGCGGUGCUCACAUAGAAGCCCAUAUGUCCCGUGAGGCGGACAAUACAAUUGUUAAUUCCUCCACCGGAACCUGAAAUAUAUCUAUCCUUUGUAAAUGUGAGGAGAUGGCUCUGCAACAAGGAUGGCUGGGAGGGAAAUUGUAGUAGUCAAGGUGAUGGCAUUCUGUAAAUCUUCAGAUGCUUCAAAUGUUAGUGAAAUAUGAAGGCCGGUUGUUAUUUUGUUUAAUAAAGAACUGGGUUGUACCAAACUCGGACGAUUAAACGCCACAUAAAGGAUAUCGUUUUGCCCAUUGUAAAUGUCAUGUAUUCAGUGGUUUGUGUUUGCCUGAGCUUGAGUCUGGACUAAGGAUUCUGAGCUCCUGUGUUCUGAUUCGAUACAUGAUGUCCAAUCACAGAACAUUUUAGGAUUUGGGCCUCUGCCAUUGGUCCUUGAACUCUGAGUUGUGAUUUGCAGCUUGGAAGUUUAGACAGCCAGUCAUGUUGGGAGUGGGAGUGGCCCAGGCUUUCAGGAAUGUAUAUAAGCAGUUGCUUUGCCCCUGUUUCCCAGUUAUGUAGUUCAAUAAAGGUUCUUGCUGUUAUCACUGUGUCUUGCCUCAUGGGAACCCACCUACACUUCAGUAAACAUAUUUUCAUCAUACAGAAAGGUGAUUUAGCUGUGUAGAUGCCGUACAUUUAAAGCACAUUGCUUCCUCCAAAAAAUCAUGGGAACUGCAAUUUACAGAGCUAUACAGAGCUAAAGAAUUCGACACCCCUCUUAAAAUACAGUUCCCAUUAUUUGGGGGCGGGAGGGUGUGGUUUGAAUGUGCUUUAAAUGUAUGGUGUGUGUAAACAGGAAGAAUUCUACUCCUGGCUUUUCUCACUGCAGUCCCUCUUUGCCGUUUCUCUUUAGUUUCUCUCACCAGCUGCUGUGUAUUUCCAUGCAAGAGAGGCUCAGGAGGAAGGCUGUGGGAAGGUGGCCAGGGGUCAGAGCUGGUGUGUGUUGGUAGAACUACGUAGCAGACUGUGCUCUACUUCAUUUAGCUCAAAUCAGUCCUGUUCAUUAUUCAUGCCAUUGGCAUUAAAUUAACAGGUGGCACUGUGGUCUAAACCUCUGAGCCUCUUGGGCUUGCUGAUCAGAAGGUCAGCAGUUCGAAUCCCCACAACAGGGUUAGCACCCAUUGCUCUGUCCCAGCUCCUGCCAACCUAGCAGUUCGAAAGCACACCAAUGCAAGUAGAUAAAUAGGUACUGCUCCGGCGGGAAGGUAAAUGGUGUGGAAAUCUGUGGUGUAGAAAGAGGGUGUUUAACCCUUUCCACAUCAAAAUCCCCCCUUAAGCUGCUAUGAUUAGCCCAGGCGUUGCUUCCUCCAAAUGAUCCAUGGAGUUGUAGUUUGGUACCGGUGUUUAGUUCUCUCUGGCUCAGCUUCCAAUAACUACUGUUCUCCCCAAAAAGCUAUUGUGGGGGUGGGACUAAAUUAAGCAGCAGCUUCAGGGGAGCUAUUUCAGCAGGGAAAGGGUUAAAGAGCUGCACCACACACCCCCAGUCCUCCAACUUGUCCUCUGCUAUAGCAGGUUGCUUUUUUACAAAGCCACGAAAUCUGUCACAGAUCGCUAAGGCUGCGCAUCGUUUGGUCCUUAGAGAAGUCUGAAAUUCAGAUUCGAUCCUUGUAUGAGACAGCUGCAUAUUCCUGCAUUGCAGGGUUUUGGACUACAUGGUCCUCAAGGUCCCUUCCACCUCUACAAUUCUAUAUGAUAUAAACUUGUAGAUACGGCUUCAGAAUGCAAGCUUCCUGGUGUCAAAAGCAGAAAAUGCCUUUUGAAAUAUUAAUUCGGUCUUAUUGAUUAAAUCUUUAAUGGAUGUCCCGGUUUAUAAUUAUAGAAGCAAACUGAGAGUUGCCACGAACCUCUGAUUAUGACAUCAAUGAAUGACUCACAGUGCAAUCCAGUGCUUGGAUCCUCAAUAAGUUAUUCCCAUUGAGUUUAACGAUGAGGCUUACUUCCUGGUAAGUGGAGGAGGUGGGGUUGCAGUCUCAGUUACUUUUGGUUUGGUAGCUAGUGGGCAGAAACGCUGGGGGGGAAAUGGACAUGUUCGUGGGAGGAAUAAGCAUUUGCCAGUUCAUUUGCCUGAUCCACAUCAUAUAAACCAGCAAUUAUUUAAACUGGAGUUCUUCAAAAUGCCUUCACAAUGAUUACAAAAGUCCAUCUUGCACCACAAAGAGGCACUGAAGCCAUUAAGGAUUUUUCCUUCUUAAGAAACUUGAGGACACCUUCCUCUUCCACUUGAAAAAAUGGGCAGCAGGACCAGCAUCAAAGGUCAGCAUGGCUGGGCGUCUCCCAGGGCUCGCACCACCCUGGACCUGCUCCUCCUCUUGUUAACCUGCUCCUUAGCUCUCUAUCCCAGACAACAGUGGCAAUGCGAAGGAAGAUCAGUAGAUGCCACUUCCUGCCUGGCAAGUAAGCCAGUGGGAGUGAUGAUGAGCCAGUAGCAAGUGACAAGGGCAGUGAGGAGGAGGCAGACUCACCCAAGGGCAAAGGGCUAUGGAGAGGGUCUUGCCCAAGGGCUGCCCAAAACCUGGAGCAAACAUUGAUGAGCAGGCUGUCCUGAUCUGGGACGCAGGUGGCACUGUGCUCUAAACCACUGAGCCUCUUGGGCUUGACAAUCAGAAGGUUGGCGGUUCAAAUCCCCGCAACGCAGUGAGCUUCCGUUGCUCUGUCCCAGCUCCUGCCAACCUAGCAGUUCGAAAGCACACCAGUGCAAGUAGAUAAAUAGGUACCACUGUGGUGGGUAGGUAAAUGGCAUUUCCAUGCGCUCUUGUUUCCGUCACGGUGUCCCGUUGCACCAGAAGCGGUUUAGUCAUGCUGGCCACAUGACCCACAAAGAUAUCUGUGGACAAACACCAUGCUCCCUUGGCCUGAAAAGCGAGAUGAAAGCCACAACCCCAUAGUCGCCUUUGAUUGGACUUAACCGUCCAGGAUUCCUUUUUACCUUUUCCUGGUAAAAUUCCUGUACCAGGAAUGUGCUUUAAACAUGUGUUGAGCAGACAGCAAAAAUUUCACUGGUUAAAAUCUAUCACUUAAGUGUUUUAACUGUUAGGUUUGGCUGCCACCUUUUUCCCCUGGCAGGGCUGCUGUGCUAUUAAAAAAAAGAAUCACUUGUCAUUCAUUUAUUUAUUUUUGUAACCAGGAAUGAUUUUCCCAUUGAAUCUAUCCAGUAUCUAGGAAUAUAGAUGAGUGGCUGGCAUAAGCGAAAUUUAGAAACAUGGGUAGAACUUUGAAAAGGGGAAGAAUUUGUCAACUGUAAGGGCAUACGAUUUAAUAAUAAUAAUAAUAAUAAUAAUAAUAAUAAUAAAUUUUAUUUAUAUCCCACCUUCCCUGGCCAGAACCGGGCUCAGGACAGGUAACAACACAAUGACUGGAAGCAAAGGAAUACAUCUCUUUCAAAUAUUUUAAAGGAAAACGUAUUAUAAAGGAGACAUUGUGACAAACGGAAUUCUGCAAGUGAACAGGACUCAAACAACAAAUUAUUUUGAAACCCAGAUUAAGGAGGAGUAUUUUGAGGGCACAUGGGUUAUUACUAACAUUAAAUCAGAAAUAACAUAAAUUUAUGGGGCAGUGGAAUAAGGACAAUUUGGGCACAAUAAUUGGAAAACUGGAUUCCCACCUCCAUUUGUUUCACAUUCCAAAAAAAAGCUGAAUAUAAAGGAAUGUAAAGAUUGCAUUUAAUCCCAUAGAGGAUAAAAACAGAUGAAUUGCUGGAAAGCUGUUAAAAGGCCCAGCAGCUCAGCAGAGAAAAGGUUGGCAACCCUGUUUUUAAGUUGGGGCUUCGUUUUAGGGCACCUGUUUCCCUAACCAUUUCAGCAAUUGUGCUAAUCCUAGAUACCAUCAGAAAAGAUCCUAUUUCCAGAAUACAAUGCAACUUUAGAACCUGUCUAGCUAGUUACUGAAAUGAAAACGCUCCAGACAGACAAAAUGUAAACAAGGCAGAAACAGGCUAUUUUGGGUUAAGCAUGUUUUCCCCCUGACCUAACUUUUUAAAUUAGGUUGCUGAAUUAUAGCUAGAAGGUGGGCUGCUGUUCCUUUGUUCCUACAAAAACACAUUUGACUCUCAGUGGGAAAGAAACAGGACUACGUCCUUUGACGUAAUUUCAGUGCCAAUACAGUCGUACCUUGGUUGACGAACGCCUUGCUAUUCAAAUGUUUUGGCUUCUGAAUGCCGCAAACCCGGAAGUGAGUCUUCUGGUUUGCGAACCUUCUUUGGAACCUGAACGUCUGACACUGCUUCCGCAGCUUCCGAUUGGUUGCAGGAGCUUCCUGUAGCCAAUCGGAAGCCGCGCCUUGGUUUCCAAAUGUUUUGGAAGUCGAACGGACUUCUGGAACGGAUUCCAUUCGACAUCCGAGGUGCUGCUGCAUAUUGUAAACCACCCCAAUCUCUGAGCGCUGUGAGAUUCCAGGGAUCCUGGACACUUACCCAGGGUUUAUGUUUCCUUUUGGAAAUGAGGCACAGCAGAGACUGUGGUGUCUUUAUGAUGUAUGGUUUAUUUACACAUAUACACAACCUAAGCCUAUGGUGGAGGGGUUCACAACAUUAACAUCCCAAAAGGGUCUUGUUUCUCCCAUAGCUGCAGCCUUGGAUUCAGACAGAAAUCAAACAUUGUGCUCUUCCUCUCCAGCUUUCAGCCUGUAGCUCUUCCUCUAGGUCCCAUUACAACCAACUCUCAAUUUUGGCUUUGUCCUAUCUAAGAGAGGGAGGAAGAGCCCCACGCAUUCACUAUCUGGUAUAGAGUCCCCUUCCUCAUAAUGUUGUUUGAGGAUUUGCAGCGAAAUUUUCCACACCACUGGCAGAUUUAACUUCCUUUGGCCUCAUUCUGUUGUUUCUCUCUUCACACCAGUCGGCAGAUUAGGAUGGGGUGCAGCCGUAGUUCAGUGAAUCCGCCCCACACAACUACCGUAUUUUUUGCUCUAUAAGACUCACUUUUUCCCUCCUAAAAGGUAAGGGGAAAUGUGUGUGCGUCUUAUGGAGCGAAUGCAGGCUGCGCAGCUAUCCCAGAAGCCAGAACAGCAAGAGGGAUCACUGCUUUCGCUGCGCAGCAAUCCCUCUUGUUGUUCUGGCUUCUGAGAUUCAGAAUAUUUUUUUUCUUGUUUUCCUCCUCCAAAAACUAGGUGCGUCUUAUGGUCUGGUGCGUCUUAUAGAGCGAAAAAUACGGUAGUUCUGUUUGCUGAGCAUGCACAUUGCUGAGCGUUCCAUUUACUUUCCCCCAUUUCUUCUGCUUUUCUUCUAUUAAAUAAAAAAUAAAUAAAAGUUACCCACCUAGACCGCCGCAAAUACUCCAAAAAUUUGGAAGUUUUUGACCUAUUUUUAAGGAAAUUCGUCGAAAAAUCAACACUUCCAACAUGGGUUGCCAUACGUCUUGAGUUUUCCUGUAUAUUUCUCAUGAUUUUCGGAAAUUCCACCCGGAUGCUAUUUCAAUGGCUGAAUCCCAAUAUGUCCAGGAAAACCCAGAUGUAUAGCAGCCCUACCAGUGGCAACUGGUAGAGGGAUUUAUGGAAGGGCUACCUACAGGAGAAGUGAGAAGGUAGAGACGCUUUGUAAUAAAGAAUCAGUAUUUGCCAGACUUCAUUUCAGCAUGUAGGGCUAUGCUGUCUUUUCCAUACAGAGCUUACCUGCAAUAUUGUUCUGUGCAACAUCAAUUCACUGUAACAUGCAAGUGACUCUUAAUGUAAAAGCCACGACAGUGAAAUAUUGCUGUUGCUCUAUGCUGAGUCUAUACCUAGGCAAUAGAUUUUACAGUGGUACCUUGGUUCUCAAACACCUUGGUACUCAAACAACUUGGAACCCAAACACUACAAACCCAGAAGUGUUCCAGUUUGUGAACUUUCUUUGGAAGCUGAACGUGCUCCGUUUUGAGUGUUACGCUUAUGAUUUAAGUGUUACGCUUAUGAUUUGAGUGUUACGCUGACGAUUUGAGUGUUACACUUAGGUCUGUCUGUUUUUGCUAUUUAUUUUGCGUUUUUGUUUUUGUGACUGUGUGGAACCCAGUUCAGCUACUGCUUGAUUGACGGUGUGACUGCAGUACAUUGUUUAUUGCUUUCAUUUUAUGGACCAAUGGUCUCGUUAGAUAGUAAAAUUCAUAUUAAAUUGCUGUUAAACUGUUGUUUUUAAAAGGCUGGAACGGAUUGAUCCAUUUUCCAUUACUUUCUAUGGGAAAGUGCGCCUUGGUUUUGGAACGCUUUGGUUUUGGAACAGACUUCCAGAACGGAUUAAGUUUGAGAACCAAGGUACCACUGUAUUUUUGUAUAGGUUGCGCCCAUUGAUUUAUAAAAGUAGCAUUGCUUCCUGGAAAUAUCGGACAUUUUCCUGCAUGCCAUGUGCUGAGAAGGUAACAACGGAUUUGACUGCAUAUUAUUACUAACUUCCGCCCUUAGAGAGGGCAUCCAUAUUCUACUUUAACUAAAAGGGCAUAGGGUGGAAUUGCAUCCUUUGUAUUUGUACGGAGGAUUUGCUCCACGGGCCUGCAUAAGUCACCUGCCUCUGGGCUUUUGUUUUUGUCUGUGAAAUGGGGAUGGGAAAAGACUCAUCACAAUGUGGUCGACUGUACUGGAAGCCUAAUCCAUUAUUGGCUUUAGCUACCGCUUGCAUUGGAAAGACAAAAGGGAACCUCUCCUUAAAUGGGGAUGCAGAUCAAUUUACACAUAGCCCGUUGAUGCUAGAAAUUAUCAUUAGGGGCAGAUGUUUAUUUUGAACGCAGGAACGUAUAGUAGGAGAUCACAGUCAGUGUUACCUGUUAAUUACUUAUCCUAGGCCAGGGGUGUCCAAACUUUUUCCAAAGAGGACCAGAUUUGAUGAAGUGAAGAUGUAUGAGGGCCAACCAAAGUUACAGUGGUACCUCAGGUUAAGUACAUAAUUCGUUCCAGAGGUCCGUACUUAACCUGAAACUGUUCUUAACCUGAAGCACCACUUUAGCUAAUGGGGCCUCCCGCUGCUGCAGCGCCGCCGGAGCACGAUUUCUGUUUUCAUCCUGAAGCAAAGUUCUUAACCUGAAGCACUAUUUCUGGGUUAGCGGAGUCUGUAACCUGAAGCGCAUGUAACCUGAAGCGUAUGUAACCUGAGGUACCACUGUACUGAGCUUUUUUUAGGAUUGAAGUUGUUGAGCUUUUGGGUGGCGGGGAUUUUACUACCCCAGAAAAUAAACUGCCAUACAAUUUUACCGCAAAGUUGUUGAGCUUUUUUUAAAAAAAAUACCCCAAAGUUGUUGAGGCCGGAUUAAACUGACUGGCGGGCCGGAUUACGCCCCAGAAACAGACUUUAGACAUGCCAGUCCUAGGCCAUGCUUCUGUACUUUUUAAUCACAGCCUCACAUGGAGAAAUGUAGAAGGUGAAGCUUUUCCUGGCAUGGAAAUAAAAUUUGGGGCAUAGAAUUAGAGGGCGCCCUAAGGAAACUGGUGACCAUGUUGGGUAAGCAACUUGCCUACAACGUCAGAGCAUUUAUUUAACAGAUGAUAUAUUUACAGGUAAGGGACGGUUUUAUACCUAGAGAUUCUAGAGUGGCCAGCUGCAAAGGCAAGCAGGCCUCCUGUACAUGUAAUCGUUACGUAACUAGAAGAGGGGAUUUGUCAGUUUAUUUGCAGCUUUUCAUACUCCUACAAUGGCUAAAAUGUCGCUGACAAUCUGUAAAUCAGUGCCCAGUGCAGGCAGAGUGACCAGGGACAACAAAGAACACAAUGUCUGUACUCUUCAUAGCUAUGGAAAAGGGGGGAAUUUCAUCAGAUUAUCAGCAUUUUAUGACAGGGUUACUGUUCCUCCCUCCAUUGGUUCCUGCAGGUGUGCCUCAUGCAGACAUUAGCAAGGAGUGGGGAACCUGCCAUCAUCCAGAUUUUGUUGGACUACGACUCCCAUCAUCGCUGUCCAUUGGCCACGUAGUCCCAACAACGUCCAGUAGGAGGUCCUCCGUCCAAGCAGCAGAGGAAGAGUAUUUAUUUGUUGUAUUAUCUACCACAUUUAUGUUAAGCUUACCAGAUUUUUUUCAAAGAAUGCAGGGACACUUUAAAAAAGAGAGAGAG